rnacentral:rRNA from 1 species
CGAACGAGAAGCUUCUUCGGAAGUGAUUAAAGUGGCGCACGGGUGAGUAACGCGUAGACAAUCUGCCCUUCAGUCUGGGACAACUUUUCGAAAGGAGAGCUAAUACCGGAUAACAAUGCAUGACACAAGUCAUAUAUUUGAAAGCUUUAUGUGCUGAAGGAGGGGUCUGCGUCCCAUUAGCUGGUUGGUGAGGUAAAGGCUCACCAAGGCAACGAUGGGUAGCGGGUUUGAGAGGACGAUCCGCCACACUGGAACUGAGACACGGUCCAGACUCCUACGGGAGGCAGCAGUGGGGAAUAUUGCACAAUGGAGGAAACUCUGAUGCAGCAAUGCCGCGUGAGUGAAGAAGGCCCUUGGGUCGUAAAGCUCUUUUAUGAGGGAAGAUGAUGACGGUACCUCAGGAAUAAGCACCGGCUAACUACGUGCCAGCAGCCGCGGUAAUACGUAGGGUGCGAGCGUUGUUCGGAGUUACUGGGCGUAAAGGGCGCGCA